rnacentral:rRNA from 1 species
GACGUAGGGCGCGAGCGUUGUCCGGAUUUACUGGGCGUAAAGCGCGUGUAGGCGGUUGCCCAAGUCGGGUGUGAAAGCCUUGAGCUCAACUCAAGAAAUGCACUCGGUACUGGGUGACUAGAGGACCGGAGAGGAUAGUGGAAUUCCCAGUGUAGUGGUGAAAUACGUAGAGAUUGGGAAGAACACCAGUGGCGAAGGCGGCUAUCUGGACGGUUUCUGACGCUAAGACGCGAAAGCGUGGGGAGCAAACAGG